UGAUUUUGUUUUUGAUUCAUAUUCUUGUUCCAAUGUGGCUUGCAGAAGUUGCCUAGAAACCAUCUCACAUCAGCUCACUCAUCCAGGACGCACAGCUCCCCAUAUGCAGGCAGAGAGAUAAGCUUAAGUUCCUAAUUUUUUAAGGAAAUGCAAUUAACCCUCCUUCCUUCUCCCAAGGAUGUGAUAUCUGAGAACUCACAGUAAAAAUAAAAUUUAAAAAAAAAAGAUUGUUGAAGAAAGUCUGGAGUGCAUAGUGUGUGGGGGUGUGUGGGUGGAGAAGGAAGAGGAGGCUUUCUCAAGGCAGUGGCAGAGCCAGAACCAUAACAGUCCCCACUCAAUCAUCCUUAACACAGCCUUUCACAGCCUCUAGUGACAGAACAGCCAUAGACUUAGUUUGACCAAGCUUUACGCUUUCUCAGUGUACACUCCUCUCAGCUCUUCCUGUCUUUCACAGUAGUUGUAACCAGCUGCUUGGUAUGAAAAUGGAUGGGAUUCCUCAUGUUCUUCCAGGAAAAAAAUCACAUUCGUGAUAGAUGCAGAGAAACUGGCAGCACUAAACACGGAUAUGGUGGUCAAAAAGACCUGUGCAAAUGAACAUCGGAAAAUAAAGGGGUUGUCUGUGCUGGACAAGAAGAAGUGGGAGUUUUGAACCCAAACCCAAAGUUUGGGUUGAUCUGUGGUAUUUCAUCUUGAAAAUUUUUAUUUUGGGGUGAUUACCCUUUUUCCUUGGAACGGCUGUUUACGAGGCUGGACAGUGAUAGGACAAGGGGGAACAAGACAGGGGAGGUUUAGGUUAGAUAUGAGGAGGAAGUUUUUCACAGAGAGAGUGGUGACACACAGGAGCAGGUUGCCCAAGGAGGUUGUGGAUGCCCCAUCCCUGGAGGCAUUCAAGGCCAGGCUGGAUGUGGCUCUGUGCAGCCUGGUCUGGUGGUUGGUGAGCCUGCACAUAGCAGGGGGGUUGAAACUCAAUGAUCACUGUGGUCCUUUUCAACCCAGGCCAUUCUAUGAUUCUGUGAUUCUAUGAUUCCUUGCAACUUGUUUGUUAAACGAAAAAAUGCCACCUCAGGAAGUGUUGAAAGGAAUAAAAUGCUGCUUAAGUUAGAAAUUAAUGUUUGAACACUGAAAAAAAGAAAAUGCUGCCUUUGUGGGACUUGAAACAACUGAAUUUGGUUUGAAUUUCCCAGUGUUUCUCUUCUUCUCCAGACUCCACUUUCUGGCAACAUUUGCUAUGGUGUAGCCAUUCUCAUUGUAUGAAGACAGUAAGUAAAGGUUUUAAGAACUAAUAUGAACACCUGCAUAGUGGGAGAUUGGAUUGCAAUUUCCAAGUGUAAUUCCCUAUGACUGACCAAACU
ensembl:lncRNA